rnacentral:snoRNA from 13 species
GCAAUGAUGACCUUCAGGUUUUGAGGAAGUGAUGAAAAAACCUCCAGCUAUUCCUCUAAGAAGUUCUGAGCUC